AUUGAACGCUAGCGGCAUGCCUUACACAUGCAAGUCGAACGGCAGCGGGGGAGCUUGCUCCCGCCGGCGAGUGGCGAACGGGUGAGUAAUACAUCGGAACGUACCCAGUAGCGGGGGAUAGCCCGGCGAAAGCCGGAUUAAUACCGCAUACGCCCUACGGGGGAAAGGGGGGGAUCGCAAGACCUCUCACUAUUGGAGCGGCCGAUGGCUGAUUAGCUAGUUGGUGGGGUAAAGGCCUACCAAGGCGACGAUCAGUAGCUGGUCUGAGAGGACGACCAGCCACACUGGGACUGAGACACGGCCCAGACUCCUACGGGAGGCAGCAGUGGGGAAUUUUGGACAAUGGGCGAAAGCCUGAUCCAGCAAUGCCGCGUGUGCGAAGAAGGCCUUCGGGUUGUAAAGCACUUUUGUCAGGGAAGAAAUCGUUUGGGUUAAUACCCCGAGCAGUUGACGGUACCUGAAGAAUAAGCACCGGCUAACUACGUGCCAGCCGCCGCGGUAA
rnacentral:rRNA from 1 species